UUCCCGAGUCCUGCAGACCAGAUCUAAGCACACAGCGACUUAGCCUCUCCAGGAGCCGCUUCCUUUUGCAGACUCUUUAGACAAAAGGGGUUGACCUACCCAUGUCAGCAGGAAUACUUGACCAUCAGUACACGGAGGAAGAAAGUGGGAAUCCAGAGACAACCUGGUCCUCGGAUAUGCUUAAAAACAGAAAUAGGACUGGCUGACUCAGUCUCAGAGAUGCCUGGGGCCGUCUGAAUUUCCAUGCUGGAAAUCCUGUGUCCUGGGAAAUUAAGUGCUGGACACCUGGUAAUCAAGUGCCUUGGUCCCCAGAGUGACCUUUCCAUGGAAGGCAGAAAAUAUUAUAGCUGGCCAGAAGGUAGAAAUUUGCUGCCUCCACCUCCUUGGUUAUAUCCUGAGGGUACCCGCGGGCUCCCUGUGUAUAGGGGCUGAUUAUAAAUGCCAUGUCUUCUGCGUGUCUCAACUCCACCCUCCUUUUUACCUCUGUGCCUUCUCCCUACCAGUCAGAACUCUUGCUCUGGCAUUUGGGCCAUAGCAGCCAUGACAGACCCCAGGAUACACAGCAAGAAGAAUCAAGAGAAACAUUUCAAUGCUGGGUAUGGGCUCCUCAACAGGUGCUGAGGAGGUGUAACACACAUGUUUACUACAUGAGGCCCCAGAACACUGCUUAUUUUCGUCAAUAGCUUGUCAAAUAACCCAUUCCACAUUUUACAGACUUCUUAGGUACUUGAUAAGUCUUCAUUGAUAAUACCAAUCUCUGUAAAUAAAGACAGAAUCUGUUCAAUUA